rnacentral:rRNA from 1 species
UACGUAGGCAGCGAGCGUUGUUCGGAAUUACUGGGCGUAAAGAGUGCGUAGGCGGUGCUCUAAGUCUGUUGUGAAAUCUCCCGGCUUAACUGGGAGGGUGCGGCGGAAACUAGAGUGCUCGAGUGUGGGAGAGGUAAGCGGAAUUCCUGGUGUAGCGGUGAAAUGCGUAGAUAUCAGGAGGAACACCUGUGGUGUAGACAGCUUACUGGACCACGACUGACGCUGAGGCACGAAAGCGUGGGUAGCAAACAGG